rnacentral:rRNA from 1 species
GAGUUUGAUCUUGGCUCAGGAUGAACGCUAGCGGCAGGCUUAACACAUGCAAGUCGAGGGGUAUAGUAGCAAUACUAGAGACCGGCAAACGGGUGCGGAACACGUACGCAACAUACCCGCUACAGGGGCAUAGCCCGGAGAAAUUCGGAUUAACACCCCAUAGUAUAAUUGGGAGGCAUCUCUUGAUUAUUAAAAUUUAUCGGUAGCGGAUUGGCGUGCGUCCCAUUAGAUAGUUGGCGGGGUAACGGCCCACCAAGUCGACGAUGGGUAGCUGGUGUGAGAGCACGACCAGCCACACGGGCACUGAGACACGGGCCCGACUCCUACGGGAGGCAGCAGUGAGGAAUAUUGGUCAAUGGGCGCAAGCCUGAACCAGCCAUGCCGCGUGGAGGAUGAAGGCCUUCUGGGUUGUAAACUUCUUUUAUAUGGGAAGAAAGUACGGUUUCUACUGUAUCCGACGGUACCAUAUGAAUAAGCACCGGCUAACUCCGUGCCAGCAGCCGCCGUAAC